rnacentral:ribozyme from 1 species
CGUCGUCAGGGCGACGUUAAACAGGCCUCAGGCCCUGAGCGUCCCUCGCAUCCAGCGAGGGGGUGGCG